rnacentral:lncRNA from 1 species
AUCACUUGUAUUUUUCUCAAUCUCCACACUUUUUUUCUUUUCAACUUCACCAUUCUUUUCGUUAUUUUCAACUUCUUCCUCCUUACUCCACUCCCCCACUUCACCAUCAACAUUUUCCUCCAAUAUUUCCUCCUCAUUUUCUUUCUUUUUCUCUCUUUGUUCACUCUCAACUCUUUUUUUAUUCUCACUCAUCAACUCCUUCCCACUUCUCGUUGUGAUCGCCUUACAAUGCUCCUUAGGAUUUGUUUGCGUGUUUGCCGAAAAGGAAGGACCGGU